rnacentral:rRNA from 1 species
AAAAAAGCGGAGGAAAAGAAACCAACAGGGAUUGCCUUAGUAGCGGCGAGUGAAGCGGCAAAAGCUCAAAUUUGAAAUCUGGCACUUUCAGUGUCCGAGUUGUAAUUUGAAGAAGGUAUCUUUGGGUCUGGCUCUUGUCUAUGUUUCUUGGAACAGAACGUCACAGAGGGUGAGAAUCCCGUGCGAUGAGAUGUCCCAGACCUAUGUAAAGUUCCUUCGAAGAGUCGAGUUGUUUGGGAAUGCAGCUCUAAGUGGGUGGUAAAUUCCAUCUAAAGCUAAAUAUUGGCGAGAGACCGAUAGCGAACAAGUACAGUGAUGGAAAGAUGAAAAGAACUUUGAAAAGAGAGUGAAAAAGUACGUGAAAUUGUUGAAAGGGAAGGGCUUGAGAUCAGACUUGGUAUUUUGUAUGUUACUCUCUCGGGGGUGGCCUCUACAGUUUACCGGGCCAGCAUCAGUUUGGGCGGUAGGACAAUUGCAAAGAAAUGUGGCACUGCCUCGGUAGUGUGUUAUAGUCUUUGUCGAUACUGCCAGCCUAGACUGAGGACUGCGGCUUCGGCCUAGGAUGUUGGCAUAAUGAUCUUAAGUCGCCCGUCUAGAAACACGGGACCA